UACAGAGGUCUCAAGCGUUGUUCGGAUUCAUUGGGCGUAAAGGGUGCGUAGGCGGCGCGGUAAGUCGGGUGUGAAAUCUUGGAGCUUAACUCCGAAACUGCAUUCGAUACUGCCGUGCUUGAGGACUGGAGAGGAGACUGGAAUUUACGGUGUAGCUGGUGAAAUGCGUAGAUAUCGUAAGGAAGACCAGUGGCGAAGGCGGGUCUCUGGACAGUUCCUGACGCUGAGGCACGAAGGUCAGGGGAGCAAACGGG
rnacentral:rRNA from 1 species